rnacentral:rRNA from 1 species
UACAGAGGUCUCAAGCGUUGUUCGGAUGCAUUGGGCGUAAAGGGUGCGUAGGUGGCGAGGCAAGUCAGAUGUGAAAUCCCGGGGCUCAACCCCGGAACUGCAUUUGAAACUGCCUUGCUCGAGUACUGGAGAGGAGACUGGAAUUUACGGUGUAGCAGUGAAAUGCGUAGAUAUCGUAAGGAAGACCAGUGGCGAAGGCGAGUCUCUGGACAGUUACUGACACUGAGGCACGAAGGCCAGGGGAGCAAACGGG